UACGUAGGGAGCAAGCGUUGUCCGGGAUCAUUGGGCGUAAAGCGCGCGUAGGUGGCCAUGUAAGUCCGCUGUGAAAGUCAAAGGCUCAACCUUUGAAAGCCGGUGGAUACUGCAUGGCUAGAGUACGGAAGAGGCGAGUGGAAUUCCUGGUGUAGCGGUGGAAUGCGCGGAUAUCAGGAGGAACACCGGUGGCGAAGGCGGAUCUCUGGGCCAUUACUGACGCUGAGGAGCGAAAGCGUGGGGAGCGAACAGG
rnacentral:rRNA from 1 species